GUUUGAUCCUGGCUCAGGACGAACGCCGUCGGCGUGCCUAAAACAUGCAAGUCGAACGAGGUCCAUCCUUUGGCAACACUGGUGAAGACCUAGUGGCGAACGGGUGAGUAACACGUGAGGAACCUGCCCCGAAGACCGGGAUAACCCUCCGAAAGGAGAGCUAAUACCGGAUACCCCCACCGAAUCGCAUGGUUUGGUGAGGAAAUGGAUUCCGCUUCGGGAGGGCCUCGCGGCCUAUCAGCUAGUUGGUGGGGUAACGGCCUACCAAGGCAUCGACGGGUAGCUGGUCUGAGAGGACGAUCAGCCACACUGGGACUGAGACACGGCCCAGACUCCUACGGGAGGCAGCAGUUAGGAAUCUUGCGCAAUGGGCGAAAGCCUGACGCAGCAACGCCGCGUGGGGGACGAAGGCUCUCGGGUUGUAAACCCCUUUCAGUGGGGACGAAUCAAGACGGUACCCACAGAAGAAGCCCCGGCCAACUACGUGCCAGCAGCCGCGGUAACACGUAGGGGGCAAGCGUUGUCCGGAUUUAUUGGGCGUAAAGAGCUCGUAGGCGGUUCGCUAAGUCGGGUGUGAAACCUCCAGGCUCAACCUGGAGACGCCACCCGAUACUGGUGUGACUCGAGUCCGGUAGGGGAGCGUGGAAUUCCUGGUGUAGCGGUGAAAUGCGCAGAUAUCAGGAGGAACACCAGCGGCGAAGGCGGCGCUCUGGGCCGGAACUGACGCUGAGGAGCGAAAGCGUGGGUAGCAAACAGGAUUAGAUACCCUGGUAGUCCACGCCGUAAACGUUGGGCACUAGGUGUGGGGUCUUAUCAACGGAUU
rnacentral:rRNA from 1 species